GACAGAGGGUGCAAACGUUGUUCGGAAUUACUGGGCGUAAAGCGCGUGUAGGCGGCCAUCUAAGUCGGGCGUGAAAUCCCACGGCUCAACCGUGGAAGUGCACUCGAAACUGGAUGGCUAGAGUCCUGGAGAGGAAGGUGGAAUGCUUGGUGUAGAGGUGAAAUUCGUAGAUAUCAAGCGGAACACCGGUGGCGAAGGCGGCCUUCUGGACAGUGACUGACGCUGAGACGCGAAAGCGUGGGGAGCGAACAGG
rnacentral:rRNA from 1 species